AAUUGUCUCAGAUUUGUUCUUUACUGCACUACGAAGAACUAAAUAAUGGAAUCGUGAAGGAUAUGGAUUUCGUUUUUACAUUAUGCAGUACCUCUUUGCAUGAUAAAACUGUAGCAGUCUGGCACUUGCAAAAACUAAAUGCAGAUGCUACUUUUUGUCAAGCAUACGCAAAAACCGAUGUUAUUCCUGUCUCUAUUUUUUCUAGAGUACAAUUGAAAAUAGAUGCUAAUUCUCCACUUAAUCUGAGUUAUGUAGAAAGAGGAUCAAAGGAGGAGGUUACCAUGUGCCUUAGUGCCAUGAGAGUUAGUUACUUGUUUUCUUGCAAAUCUAGAUCAUUUCCGACAAAAUUACUGCUUAGGAGACUGAUAUUGACAUGCUAGAGUCCUCCUUGUUUGCCUUUCAUCUGUGUUGGGCUCAUAAUAUGAUGCUUAGUUCUGAUUCCUUUAGUUCCCUUACAUUGUGCCUUACACGCAGUGAAGUUCAAUAACUUCAGACUUUUUUAUGCAGAAAGUUGUAAAGAUUUUUUGUAAGGAGAAGAAGAAAGAACUAGCCACAAUACAUAGCUUCGCCUAUGAGCAUUGAACCUUAACUCUGACACAGUUGGUCAUCCAUUUAGCACAAAUCACUAUUCUACAUCUCCACGGAUAACUUUCAGGUUACCCAGUCCAAUUUUCAAAUGUUCUGCUUGAAUAUGAACUCUCAAUUUUGGAUGAGAAAGCUAAGGCCACUUAUCUUGCUUAUCCGCAGGAACAGAGGUUGAACAUUUUGUUUUGAACUGAUUUUAGAGGAAACACGCUUCCAAAUUCAUUAUGAGUUGAUAGCAUCAAGAGCUGCUGAACUGUUCUAGGUUCAGAUGAAUUAUUUUGAUUUUGAAAGGAAGUAUGGUCUAAGGAGUAAAACACACGUUGCUAGCUAAAGUUUCAAUCCCUGAACAACAAUUCUAAUUUUGAAUUGGCCUCCUACAACCCAGCAUAGGAGUCUGAUAUUGACAUGCUAAGACCCUCCUGUUUUAACAGUAGUAGAGAUUUUUAGAAUACCCAAUCGCUUUGAGUUUAAUAUGCAUUGGCGAUUAACUCAGUUCAUUUCUUCUAUUUUCUCUGCAUUUCUUGUAGAUUACUUAUUCUUUUUUUACUGCAUUUCUUAUAGAUUUAUUUAUUUUUGACUGCCACCGGGAAGUAUGCAGAUGUAUCCUUUUAUGCUUGAUGCUGUAGGCAGGUUCAACAAACAAGGCGUUGUAUGGCCAAAAGAAUAUUUAGAGGCUUAUCAUUAGGCAGAUGCAGUGGCCAAAAGAAUAUUUAGAGGCUUAUCAUUAGGCAGAUGCAGUGAUGGGUAGGUUAUAGUUAAGAUUUACUAGCAUAACUGCUCUCCGCUUAUUUGCCAGCCAAACCGAUGGGUGGCAUGUUUCAGGUGUUGUCUUGCAUUCUCUUGUUCUUUUCCUUGCCCAUUGGCCAUUGCACCUGCUUUUUAUCGAUUUGUUGUCGCACCCUUGUUGUGGUGCUUUGCUUCGCUGGUAGAUGAAAGAUCCUCUAUCCAGUUUUCAAUAGACCGAAAGUUCCUCUUAUGAGUCUGCAGAUAUCUUCCACUAUGAAAUGCAAUAAUGGUUUUGCAGUUUAUUGUAUGCAUACCUCUGCCACCAGAAGAUAUAUUGAUUUUUUUUAUAUUGUUUUUGCUCAAUAGUAUAGAUGCGGCCAAGAGAAUAGUCACCCAAAUAUCUAAAUUUCUUCUUAUGUUUACUUCCCCAUAAAAUGCAAAAUGCAAAAUAUAAACUACUUUGAAAUGAUCAAAUGAAAAUGUCAAUUUUUUAGGAUUAUGUUUAGUUUCAUCUAAAAUGCAGAAUUUACUGCUCUUGAGGCUCUUUUGGGCCUUUUUAGCCUCUUGAGGCCAAUCCAAAAUAGAGAAUAGCUACUUUUUUUGUCAAAAAUUUUGUAUGGUGUUCAAUUCCAUUAUACAAAAUGAUGAACUAAAAUCCAAAAUAUUUUAGAAUAAAAGGGGAACUCCAGGGAUCACUCCAGAACAUGAAUUGUAUCCAAGCAGAGACUUUCACCAAAUGUCUUUGUUGAUCUCAGUUACUGCAUUUAGGUUUCAUCAUGUCUUUAUUGAUCUCAGUUAUCUGGGGAUGUGCUGCAUGCAUGUGGUUUUAACACAAGUGGGUUUAGAAAGCGUUACUUUCCUAUUAUGGAAUAAAAAUUUUAUGUUGUCUGUAUAUUUAAAAUUAGUUUUUGGAUGUGUACCAUUUUUAUAUUUUGAUUCAAAACUGGGUGAUCUAUGUCUAUUUUUAUAAUUAUGCACUUGAAUGAUCUUGUUUAGCCUUUUCUUUUUGGUUGACUAGGAAUGAAAUCGAUCCAAGUGCUAAGCUGAAAUGGCUGCCCCUAAAUAUGGAUAAGGACAGCUAUGCAUUAGUAGCUGUAUGCUACCUAACCCCUUUGUUUUUUCUUUAAGAGAUGACAUAUAUGGAGCAGUAUAAGCAAUAUUUUAGUAUUGCUAAUCUACUAAGAAUGGUCAUUUUACUUGUAUAUCAUUUCAACUUACAAGCCAUACUUUCGUAAUACCAUUAAGAUUACACGGUCAAUUGUAUGUAGUGCUAUCCAGAGCCACGACAAGAUUAAACAUUAAGAUCCUAGCCGUACCGCCUGAUGAGAAGGUCGUGACCAAGGGGAAGGCGAAGAAGAAACCGACAAAGGAUGUAUUCACAAAAAAUAUCGUAUAUAAGGAGGUUCUGACUGCAUAAAAGAGGAUACUUUCAACUAUAAUUUCAACCAUCUACAAAUUUCAGCAGCAAAGAGUCAGACGUUGUAUCUUGGGCUUGAAAUAUAGAGUUAUAUUUUAAUUAUCUUUUUUGAAGACUUAUGUAAUAUUGUUGUUCCAAACAACACGAUUGCAAUAUCUUUUUAAACUAAUAGUAUAACACAUGCUCAUACAUA